rnacentral:rRNA from 1 species
AACGAACGCUGGCGGCAUGCCUAACACAUGCAAGUCGAACGAUGCCUUCGGGCAUAGUGGCGCACGGGUGCGUAACGCGUGGGAAUCUGCCUUUCGGUUCGGAAUAACUCAGGGAAACUUGAGCUAAUACCGGACAACGUCGCAAGACCAAAGAUUUAUCACCGAAAGAUGAGCCCGCGUAGGAUUAGCUAGUUGGUGAGGUAAAGGCUCACCAAGGCGACGAUCCUUAGCUGGUCUGAGAGGAUGAUCAGCCACACUGGGACUGAGACACGGCCCAGACUCCUACGGGAGGCAGCAGUGGGGAAUAUUGGACAAUGGGCGAAAGCCUGAUCCAGCAAUGCCGCGUGAGUGAUGAAGGCCUUAGGGUUGUAAAGCUCUUUUACCCGGGAAGAUAAUGACGGUACCGGGAGAAUAAGCCCCGGCUAACUCCGUG